rnacentral:rRNA from 1 species
UACGAAGGGGGCUAGCGUUGUUCGGAAUUACUGGGCGUAAAGCGCACGUAGGCGGAUUGUUAAGUCAGAGGUGAAAUCCCGGAGCUCAACUUCGGAACUGCCUUUGAUACUGGCAAUCUAGAGUCCGGAAGAGGUUAGUGGAAUUCCCAGUGUAGAGGUGAAAUUCGUAGAUAUUGGGAAGAACACCAAUGGCGAAAGCAGCUUUCUGGGACGGUACUGACGCUGAGACGCGAAAGCGUGGGGAGCGAACAGG